AGUGGCCUAGUGGUUAAGACGUCCGCCUGGUAACCCAGGGGACGUGGGUUCGAGCCCGG
rnacentral:tRNA from 1 species